UGCCAGCCGCCGCGGUAAUACGAAGGGUGCAAGCGUUACUCGGAAUUACUGGGCGUAAAGCGUGCGUAGGUGGUUCGUUAAGUCUGAUGUGAAAGCCCUGGGCUCAACCUGGGAAUGGCAUUGGAUACUGGCGACCUAGAGUGCGGUAGAGGGGUGUGGAAUUCCCGGUGUAGCAGUGAAAUGCGUAGAUAUCGGGAGGAAUAUCUGUGGCGAAGGCGACACCCUGGACCAGCACUGACACUGAGGCACGAAAGCGUGGGGAGCAAACAGGAUUAGAUA
rnacentral:rRNA from 1 species